AAAAGGGAGGUGGACAUUUGUUUUUGGGUGAAGUUUUGUACCUCCUACAACAGAUGGCGACAACCACGAAGAAAACCCUCCUCCUCUUCACAUCUCCUCCGCUAUUUCUCUCUCCUUCGCCUCUGCCCAACUUCCUCCGCCUCGCUCCGGACUCCAGAGGCCGCAGAACCUCGCUCCGGACUCCGGAGACCACCUUCUACGGCCUCCCCUUGAGACGAUACUGCUCGAUGGAAAGGUUCACGGAUCGCUAGCUUGUGCUGUUAAGGUGAGAGGCCAAACCCCGAAGGUGGCCAAACAGGACAAGACGAAGAAGCCAAGUGGCAGGGCUCACAAGCGCAUGCAGUACGACCGUCGCUUCGUUACCUCCAAGAGGUUAGGAAGUGCUGGAAGCCAUCUGCAUCUCGUGGAGAAGUAGAAUCAUCUCUCUGACCAUAUUAGCAAACAUAAUUAUGGUCAGUUAGCCCAAGGCAACUCUGAGACCAUGUUUGGCUUUACAACAAAUGCAGGUACGACCUCAAAUGACCACUGACAUCAUUCAAGAAGUUAAUAUGGGUGCAUCUCAGAAAUCUAUGGCAAUGGAUCCUUCGUCAGUUUACGGACAAGCAACUUUACAAUCAAAAGCUGGACUAGGUGUAGGUAGAUUACCAAACCCUUGGGAAUGAAAGUAUUAUGUUAUAUAUGACAUUUGUGCAUGACUUAUGAGAAAUUAUGACUUAUGAGAAUAUUAUGGUUUUCAUUUUUUUAUCCUAUCGGAAUGUCGAUUCGAGUUUAAGUUUGUACUCUUAUCCUCCCAAAUUCUGCAAUGUGACUGAUAUGUAGGUAGAUGUGAGCGUGUGUAGCAUAGCACGAUGGAUUUUCUUUUAAAGUAGUUCCUUUCAGUUGGUUUGGGUGGGUGGGUUGUAGAGUUUGAGUGUGCGUGUGUGUGUUUUAAUGGUACGUGGUGUGUGUCUGUGAUUGGAUGAAUCAUAGGGUGAUCCUGUGGAUGAAUCUGCUGCUUCUACGUAGAAGAAAGAAAAAGGAAAUUGUGUGACGUGGGGAGGGAUCCCCUGUGAUUGAUACACACAUGGCAUAAAAACCCAACUCCGUUCCAUGGAGAAACAAUGGCAUUUACGGUAUUAAUUAGGUUAAAAGUUCAAUUCUUAUGCUGCUACGUUUUUGCUGCACGACAAGGAAGAUCAGUGUUCUAGAGUUAUUCCAAGAUCGGAAUGUACAUUAGAGUACAUCAGUGGUUCAGAGCACCAAGGAGGCGAUCCAAUUAGUGUUCAUGUGGUGGUAGAUGGUGCAUGGUUGAAGGAUAACAAACAAGGUGGUGUUGCUUGGUAAUCAGACCUGGUAAUGGCAGCUUAAUAUUAUCAUCUGUAGCAAUGAAAAUCUGUCUUUAAGUUUUAUCUUUUUUGCUUAAUGCUUUUUCUUUGUCAAUUCAGUGCUGUCCUUAGAAUAUAUGCAUGUGGGAUGUAAAUUGACCUUGCUGUUAAGUGACUAAGUUGGGAGAUCAAACAUGAAUUAGUAGAUGAUUACAAGUGAAAAUUAUGGUGCAGAGAAGUAAAGAUUUGGACACUUCAGAAUUGCUUGAGCAUUUACCAGCUUAGCAGCAGCUUUUAUUUCGUGUUGUGCUACUUGCUUUUCUCUUAGUUUCAUAAUUGAUCUCUCUUUUUCUUUCUUUCAGGAAAAUAUCUUGCGUUGGCAGAGGAUUGAUGGGUUAUCUUGGAAAUAAGGGAUUCGUUUCAGUCAGCAUGUUGUUACAUGAAACGAGCCUUUGCUUUGUGUGUAGUCAGCUUCUUCCAUUAGCUUCAAAACUCUAACUUUGAUGCUAGCCUUUUGCUAUUGUAUAGAUAAACCUGUAGCCAAAGUCAUGUAGUUAGUCAUAAAGACUAGCGAGUGUAUAGCAAAAUUUUUGUAGACAGCUACUUAUGAUCAAACUUAUGCAUACAAUUUUUGCUA